rnacentral:rRNA from 1 species
CCCCUAGAUGUUCUUGGCCGCACGCGCGCUACACUGAACAGUUCAACAAGUCUUAACCUUGGCCGAUAGGUCUGGGUAAUCUUUGAACGCUGUUCGUGAUUGGGAUAGACCUUUGCAAUUAUGGGUCUUCAACGAGGAAUUCCUAGUAAACGCAAGUCAUCAGCUUGCAUUGAUUACGUCCCUGCCCUUUGUACACACCGCCCGUCGCACCUACCGAUUGAAUGGUCCGGUGAAAUCUCGGGACGGCGGCUUGGUCGCUUGCGUCCGACUGCUGAAACUUGAUUAAACCAUAUCAUUUAGAGGAAGGUGAAGUCGUAACA